UCCCGUUUCUUUAAAAUAAUCUGAGAGCCCAGAUGGGUUGUAUAAACAGAAGAGGAGGUUCCUGGGAGUUCACUAGCUUAAUGAAGCCCGUAUGUUUGACUCAUGUAAUAAGUAUUUAAUCAUGCUGAUGAAAUUCAUUUAAACCUCAACCGCACAAGCUGGUGCUGGAGCCCUAGUAAUGUCCUACAUCACCUGAGCUAACGCUGCUGGAGCAAGAUAUGCGAGACAGAAAGUUGGUGACAUUUCACAUGAUUCUGAGUGAUCAGUGCAGAGAAGAUACAUCAGUUCGGAAGCUUUCUACUGCUAGUAACAGAAAUCGCAGCCCACAGAGAUUCAACAACCUGGAAUAUUUUGGAAUGCACAACUAGAAGUCCUGAAACACAGUGCUUUCAGCAGCUUCAUCACAUCACCGAGGACCUGAGUCCCUUCUCUGUCUCUGUUCUAAAAUCCAUGAUGUAUGAGUUGUCCUCAGGCCAGCUGCCUUCACGACCACAAGAUGCCUGUCAGUACUAACUGCAGUGGAGUAUGAAUUACUGCAGUGAAAUAAGAGAAGCAACCCCUUCCUUUAUUGAUAAAGAAAACUUUUCUUAAAGCACUCAGUACUGCCCCAGAAUAUUUUUUGGUCACAAGCCAAUUACUACAGAGAGAUGGCAUCACCAUGAUUGACUUUGACCCAUGGUCCCUGGGUGGCCAUAGGGCAGCUCAUAUCAGCUCAAAAGAGCUGACAGCACACGUCUCUCCCCACACCCUCCAUUUGGUGAUCUCCUGUUGGUAGCCUGAGACUGUCCGUGGUGGGCAUAUUUACACCACAGGAACUGGCAAACAUGAUACAGGGUUUUUCUUUUCCCUAAAGAGCCAUCUUGAAGAUAAACAUCUAGCAAAAGGGAUAAACAUUAUUGCAAAAUGGUCCCCUUCCUUCAGGCUGAAUGCCAGAACAAAACUGGGGUUCUUUUAGCUAGGAAGAAAAAUAGGGAGGUGGACUCAGAACAAAAAUCAAUAUGAUCUGAGGAGGGCUCUGAUGCUUGCUCAUUCUCUUUGGAAAACACAGCACUGGGGGUCUGAGUAAGACUAAAAAAACUCAUAAAUAGGAGAAUCCAAGUGACUUUAAAAAUAUUCCAAAAGAACCUGCCUGGGUAGGAAACACUUGUUUUUGUCAGUUGACCUCAUUUUCCUGCCAAAAUUGAAAACUUCUCUACCAACGCUCUUGGUUUCCUUUUAGCUAAAAUGGCUCCCUACACUUAAUGU
ensembl:lncRNA